rnacentral:rRNA from 1 species
UACAGAGGUCCCGAGCGUUGUUCGGAUUCAUUGGGCGUAAAGGGUGCGUAGGUGGCGCCGUAAGUCGGGUGUGAAAUUUCGGAGCUCAACUCCGAAACUGCAUUCGAUACUGCGGUGCUUGAGGACUGGAGAGGAGACUGGAAUUCAUGGUGUAGCAGUGAAAUGCGUAGAGAUCAUGAGGAAGACCAGUGGCGAAGGCGGGUCUCUGGACAGUUCCUGACACUGAGGCACGAAGGCCAGGGGAGCAAACGGG